AAUAAAAAAGUACGAAGGUUUAGGCACAGCAUAAAGAAACCAGCAGUCGCACUUCAAUAAAAAUACAUUGGCUUGAAUAAGCGAGUUCGGUGCAUGUGUACUAACGCAGGCGAGGCAUAUUUGCUUAUAGUAGGGAUGCCGCUGACACUCGCUACGGUCCACGCGGCUUUUGCCUUGGCUAGAGCCGGACUUAAACAUUUUUUUAGAUGUUAUUAUCUUGUAAAAUAAAAAUACCUACAUAGUACAAAUAAUGAUUUUUUAAUAUAAAUAGAGUUCAUACAUUAACAAAAUAUUUAAACAAAAAUAAACAUCGCAUUUCUACAUCUAACAACGACGAUAUAGAAGAAUACGUGCAGGAAGUUAAUUAGGUAUGUACCAUAAAUUUAAGAGACCAUUCUUUGAGUAAUUUUAAAACAAAAAGUUCAUAUAAACAUAUGUCCAGAAAUUCUUCGUUCUCAAUAUACAGGGUGUUAGAAUUUAACAACAACUAAAAUAUAUGCCACUGACUUUUGUGCAAUUUUUAUUAUGUUCUGUGGAUUAUACAAAUAAAACUUUUCUGUCUGUUGAAUUUUUUUCGUAUCUUGCUUAGUUAAUAAUAAAUUCCAAAUGAAACUUUUCCCCAAAUUCCUUGUGUGAUCCAGGGAUAUGCAAUUAAGUGGACUUUUUUUUUUCUCGAAAAAUAAGCGAGAUACGAAAAAGUUGUAUUUGUAUUUGAGUAAAUCAAAUAAGAUAUUAAAAAUUGCACAAAAUUCAGGUGCCCCAAUUUUUUUGCCACAAAUAUUUCUUCAGGUCCCGUUUGAGAUUACACUGAAUCUAAUAAAUUUAAUCAUGUUAGGGGUAAAUUAGCUCCUUAAUGUUAUAAAUAACACCGCCAGAGAAUUUGCGGACCUAUGUUCAUAUGAACUUUUUGUCUUAAAAUUACUCAAAUAAUCGCCUGUUAAAUAAUUUAUGGUACAUACUUAAUUAACACCCUGUAUAGUAACGCUUUUAGAUUAACAUUACAACUUUAAUUGAUGCUUAAUUAUGUUAUUUAAGCCAUACAGCCAAAUUUGCAGCUAUUAAAAACUUUGGCAAAGUCAAUUAUUUUGCUUCAUUAAUAAUUUUUGACAUACCCCUCUUUUAAUACAAAAGUUUUUAUAAAAAACGCUACGCUUUGUAAAAACGCUAUCAAAAUAGUCACUAAGUACGGCGCUGAACUAGGCGAUACACCUAUGAACACAGUUCGAUAAACAGUGAGCUCGGCAUCCGGAGAACAUGGCUGCGGCAUGGCUAAGGAUGCUAUUAGUUCGCUUACAUUUUCGAGCGGAGUGAGACUGCUGGUUUCUUUAUGCUGUGGUUUAGGUGUUUUUAUGUGGUAGUUUUGUUUUUAUUGUUAAAUGUUGCGGGCUUGUCUCAAUUGUUGACACCCGAAAUGUCGAAAGAAAAGGAAUGUCUCCGUGAGUUUAUCGAGCUAUAUAAAUCGUUUGUGUGUCUAUGGAAAGUAAAGAGUAAGGAAUACAGUGAUCGAAAUGCAAAAAAUCAAGCCUACGAAAUUUUAAUAAAAAAACUGCAGACCUUUAACCCAGAGGCUAACAGAGAGAGUGUUGUGAAAAAAAUAAUUCGCUACGUAGCACAUACAGGAAGGAACUAAAAAAAGUGCUGGACUCCGAGCGAUCAGGUGCAGGAUAAGAAAACAUUUACGUACCCCACUUAUGGUACUAUGAUAUGAUGAAUUUUAUAAGGGAUCAGGAAACUUCCAGAAAUACAAAAUCGAAUAUUGAAGAUAUGCAGAAUGACAAGUAGCACACCGCACGACGUUUGGAAGGUUGGCAAGAAUCGUCCGGAACAGCGUUCAGCCGAAUAUAUAAGGAGCCGCAUCGCCGAUAGUUGGAGUUCAGUGAAGUAAAUUUCGGAAUAUUGCGCGAGAUUUAAAUAGUUGUAAAUAAAUACACUAAAAAUAAAUAUCUCUAGUAAU